GAUGAACGCUGGCGGCGUGCCUAAUACAUGCAAGUCGAGCGAACGGACGAGAAGCUUGCUUCUCUGAUGUUAGCGGCGGACGGGUGAGUAACACGUGGAUAACCUACCUAUAAGACUGGGAUAACUUCGGGAAACCGGAGCUAAUACCGGAUAAUAUUUUGAACCGCAUGGUUCAAAAGUGAAAGACGGUCUUGCUGUCACUUAUAGAUGGAUCCGCGCUGCAUUAGCUAGUUGGUAAGGUAACGGCUUACCAAGGCAACGAUGCAUAGCCGACCUGAGAGGAUGAUCGGCCACACUGGAACUGAGACACGGUCCAGACUCCUACGGGAGGCAGCAGUAGGGAAUCUUCCGCAAUGGGCGAAAGCCUGACGGAGCAACGCCGCGUGAGUGAUGAAGGUCUUCGGAUCGUAAAACUCUGUUAUUAGGGAAGAACAGAUGUGUAAGUAACUGUGCACAUCUUGACGGUACCUAAUCAGAAAGCCACGGCUAACUACGUG
rnacentral:rRNA from 1 species